rnacentral:misc_RNA from 1 species
GGUGGCCCUGGCAUCGAAGAGUUGAACAAGUCGCUCGCGGAGGUGACCUCAGGGAUCGAGAGUGCAACAGAAAAAAUCCUGAUGGAAGAGGAUAAGUUCAAGAAGUGGAGGACGGAGAACAUUCGGAGGAAGCACAACUAUAUCCCCUUCUUGUUCAACUUUCUCAAGAUUCUCGCGGAGAAGAAGCAGUUGAAGCCGCUCAUCGAGAAGGCAAAGCAGAAGACAAGUAGCCCCAACUGAAAUUG